rnacentral:rRNA from 1 species
CGCGUGAGAAUCUACCUUCUAGUGGAGAAUACCUUCGAGAAAUCGGAGUUAAUACUGCAUAAGUCCCUUCGGGGAGAAAGAUGGCCUCUUUGCUGUCGCUGGAAGAUGAGCUUGCGUGCUAUUAGCUAGUUGGUAGGGUAAAGGCCUACCAAGGCGAUGAUAGCUAGCCGGCCUGAGAGGGUGUACGGCCACACUGGAACUUAGACACGGUCCAGACUCCUACGGGAGGCAGCAGUGAGGAAUCUUGCGCAAUGGGCGAAAGCCUGACGCAGCGACGCCGCGUGGAGGAUGACGGUCUUC